rnacentral:rRNA from 1 species
UAGGGAAUAUUGCAAAAUGGGCGAAAGCCCGAAGCAGCAACGCCGCGUGGGCGAUGAAGGCCUUCGGGUCGUAAAGCCCUUUUUGAGGGGAUGAGGAAGGACAGUACCCUCAGAAUAAGCCUCGGCUAACUACGUGCCAGCAGCCGCGGUAAAACGUAGGAGGCGAGCGUUAUCCGGAUUUACUGGGCGUAAAGCGCGUGCAGGCGGAUUGGAGAGUUGGAUGUGAAAGCUCCCGGCUUAACUGGGAGAGGUCGUUCAAUACUUCCAGGCGUGAGUGCAGUAGAGGGAAGUGGAAUUCCGGGUGUAGUGGUGAAAUGCGUAGAUAUCCGGAGGAACACCAGUGGCGAAAGCGGCUUCCUGGACUGUAACUGACGCUCAGACGCGAAAGCUAGGGUAGCAAACG